ACAGUGUUUCCGGGCACUCUGGUUUCCGUCACAGUGUCCCGUUGCACCAGAAGCGGUUUAGUCCUGCUGGCCACAUGACCCGCAAAGCUGUCUGUGGACAAACGUUGGCUCCCUCAGCCUGAAAGUGAGAUGAGCGCUGCAACCCCAUAGUCGCCUUUGACUGGACUUAACCUUCCAGAGGUCCUUAACCUUUCAACUUUCAUGGUAAGGAUAAAAAAAUGAAUGCAAUAUUCUCAAAAUAGCUUUUUUUAAAAAAAGAAUCCAUCACAUUCUUUGCCUAUGCAUCUCCUAUGGGUUGUCUGCCUGUUCCCAUUCAGCAAAAAUAAAAUGUAACUAUGUUUGCAUCAAAUACAAAUGCCAUUUAAGCUGAAAUCUGAUACUCAAUUACCUGGGAGUAAGCUUCAUGGAGCUCAACAGGGCUAACUUUUGCACGAUCCCACUGUGAGUAAAUUUAGCCGCAUAAGUGAAUUCUGCACAAAACAUUAAUCUGUAGUGAGCUUUCCGCUGCUACUGGGAAAUAAGCUUAGAUUUAUUAGGGUAUUUUCCAUGUCUGACAUCCAGAAUUCUUGCGAUUCUCCAGCCAGCUAAUAUCGGUAUAGAAUGCUACCAGGGAAACAUUAUUUUGAACAAAAGAAUGCUUAAUGCUGCUUUCACAUCUGAAUAUUCUAACUGAGAAUACCCAACUUCAAACAAAGUUGUUCUCACUAGAUCUGCUUUUCUUUUUAAAACACAAUAGGCAAUGCAUUUUUGGGCAAUUAUUGCAUGCCUGGGAUGAUGUUUAACCACCCAGCAAGGACAAUAAUCCUCUAGAAAUGCCCCAGCUGAAAUAUCCUGUGGCUUUCAUAGAGCCGAGUUUGCAAAGAAACAUAAGGAAAACAAUCUAAAUGGGCACUGACCUAAAUAGAAUACUUCCACCAGCCAGUCUGUAAAGCUCCCCAUAAGACCAGUACCACAUUGUCAUUACAUAAACAGGCAUUUUCAACAUUCUUACUUGUCCGCGAUAAUGCCGCGCAAAAGCCAAAUUUGACACAGAGAAAAAAACAGGGCACCUGAGCUGCUAUGAUAUACACUGGCAGCUUGGUUUAUGAACUUAAUCCGUUCCGGAAGUCCGUUCUUAAACCGAAUCUGUUCUUAAACCGAGGCACACUUUCCCUAAUGUGGCCUCCCGCCGCCGGUGCCCUUCUACCGUUCAGUUUCCAUUUGUAGACUAAGGUAAAGUCAUCCACGCGAUGGUCACCUCCAGGCUUGAUUAUUAUAACUCGCUCUACGCCCUUGAAGCUGACCCAGAAACUCCAGCGGUUGCAGAAUGCCGCAGCGAGGCUCCUUACAGGGUCCUUGCCGUGGGAUCACAUUCAUCCAGUGCUUUACCAACUGCACAGGCUCCCGGUGGAGUACAGGGUCAGGUUUAAGGUGCUGGUUUUGACUUUUAAAGCUCUAUGCGGCCUAGGACCCACGUACCUAUGGGACUGCUUCUCCUGGUAUGCCCUGCAGAGGACCUUAAGGUCUACAAAUGACAACACCUUGGAGGUUCCAAGUCGCAGGGUGGUUAGAUUGGUCUCAACUAGGACCAGGGCCUUUUCAGUACUGGCCCCAACUUGGUGGAACGCUCUGUCACAAGAGACCAGGGCCCUGCGGGACUUGACAUCUUUCUGCAGGGCCUGCAAGACAGAGCUGUUCCGCAUGUCCUUUGGUUUGGACUCAGUCUGUUGUUGUUUUUUAAAUAAUGUUUAUUACUUUUAUAGAUUACAAAAAGAGAGAAAAAAAACAAUAAAGGAAAAAACAGAAAAAAACAAAAAGAAGAAAACAAACAAACAAACAAACAAACACCAUACAAUACAAUAUAUAAACAAUACAGAACACAACCUAAACUCAAAACUAAACACAUUAAGCUAAACUAAACAAACCCCACUCCCCAAAAACAAAAACAAUUUAAAAACAUACAUCCUCUCUUUUCCAUACUCUAUCUUUCGUUCCCUUGUUUCUUCGACCUCCUCACACCUCCCUUUUUGUGUUCCGCUUCUAUUAAUUGUUUCAGCAAAUCCUUUCCAUCUUUCUCCAUUUUCUGUGAUAUUGUAAAUAACGUAUUAUUUUAACCUUAUUUUCCAUUAAAAACUAAAUUACUUAUAUAUGCUUAACUCCUUAUAACAUUUCUAUUAAGCCCAUGAAAAAUAAAAAAAUCAAAAAUCAAAAAUCAUUCCACCAUUUUUCUAUCACUCAUUAAUUUUACCAUUAGUCUAUAUAAAAACUUUAAAUUUUCCAAUCUUCUUCCACCAUCUCUUCUCCCAGGUUUCGGAUUCUGCCAGUCCUUUCCAUCAAUUCCAUAAAGUCCAUCAACCUGGUGAUCUCACGUCCGAGGCUCUUAACUCUUUUCCAAGUCCCUUCUGCAGGUCUUCUUCAUUUUCUUUAAUGCUAAGGAGCCAAUCUCGGGAAAAUUCCAACCUGUCAAUCCUUUUCUUCCUUCUGAACAAAUCAGCUGAGUUUCCAUAGUUAAAACCACAGUCCAUAAAGUAUUUCCGGGUAUAUUUCAAAAUUCCUCCAAUUCCAAAGGCCCCCAAAACUUCAAUCUCCUCCAGGCCCAAGUCCAUGUCCCAAAAGUCAAUUAAUCCCUGCAUAGAAGGCUCUUUCCAACUUUCCUUCUUUAAUCCAAACCAGGAUCCAUUCCUCAGAGUCUGGCUUUUCCUGGAUUCAAUCAUAGAAGGCCUCAAUUUAUAAUCUCCAAUUUGUUUCUGUAAAUCCACAGAUCUCACUUGUAUUAUUUUAUGUUGAACAACAGCUGCAUUCUCCUUCUCCUUCUCCUUCUCCUCCUUCUCCUCCACCAUUUGUCCUGCCAAAAUGGGUUCCUGUACCAAGUCCUGAAUUAUUUCUGUGUUAGUGUUCGCUUUUUGACUCAAGUCGGUCACUUUCUGUUCCAAAUUAUCACCUUUGAGAGUCAUAUCAUCCAUCUUCUUGUGAAGCUGUCCCAGCGAGCAGCUUAUCUUACAUAAAACAGUCACAAUGGCCUCUCCUAUCAACAUUUUUAAAUAGCCCAAGGUCACUCUCUGGUUCCCAAACUCCUUUUCUGCAGCUAGAGAUUCCCCAGUUACAGUUUCAAAAGCUCCCUCUAGAGGGAAACAGUCUCCACUUGUAUCAGUUCUUUCAAGCGCAAUUUCAAACAUUAAAGAUGAAUUUCAGUUACUUUUCCUCUUUUUUAAAAAAAUGCAGAAAGGGACAAUGGAAACAGUAUCUUACUCUUGUUUAGCUAGCUGUCAAAUCCGUUCUGUCAAAAGCACUCUCUUCAAACGUCAUCUGGCAGCCCGUUCCCAGGUUCAGAGCAGUGGUAAUCUGAUUUUUUCACUCUCUCCUGCAGGCUCACUAGAUCCAAAAUUUCCCCCUCUUCUCCUGCUUCCCAAGGGGGUUUUGUAACUUUAAACCGGUAGAAAUUUAAUCCAUUACCAAAAGCUUCCAAAGGCUUUACUUGUAACGUCUUUGCUUCAGUCUAUUUACAAAAACAGAAGGCAGACUUCCUGUUUGUGACCUCCCGCUUCAGUGCCGAAUUAAAGUAUUUAAAAAUCCAAUUUUCCGAUUUACUCACGAGUAGUUGUUUGAAAUCCAAAUGUCCACAGGAAAAAGUUAGCGCUCUCCGGCAACAGCAAUGCGGCUUCACUCCGUGAAAAAAGCAGUCGAUUCAAAGCACCGCGCCACUCACCCCACGUCGCUCCGGAUCCCCAAAACAGGGUUUCCCCGCGAGUAGGGGAGGCGCAAAGGUGCCAGCCGAAUCCCACGUCCACAGGCUUCUCCCGCCUGUGGUUUUUAAUGGGUCUCCGCCUCGCUGUGGUGGUUCAGACCCUGUUUUUCGCAGAGCGGGUUCCUCCCGACCGGAGGAAAUCCGCCAUUGCCAGAGGCGCCAACCCGGAAGUCGGUUUGGACUCAGUCUGACCCUCAUGUCUUCCCUCCCCUUACAGAUUUGAUCUAUGGGCUACUUUUAAAAUGAGGCUGCAUUUUUAAAUUGCAUUUUAACCUGUAUUUUAAAUUGGUUCCCACCCUCCCCUAUUAUGUUUCUAUUGUAAUUUUACUGGUGUUAGCCGCCCUGAGCCCGGCUCUGGCUGGGGACGGCAGGGUAUAAAUAACAUUUAUUUUUAUUAUUAUCACUACGUAAACCGAAUCGUUCGUAAACAGGACUGUUCUUAAACCGAGGUACCACUGUACUAGAUCCUAGGGGAAGAUUACAGCAAAUAGUAUAAUGGUAUAUUAUGAUCAGACAUGGUGUGAAUAUCUGGAUGUCACAGGAGUGGAAUAAAUUAAUUUCAUGGGUGCCACAAUGGUCAAGUGACAAUGUGGGGUGGGGGUAGGGUUCUUUCUUCUAUUUUAUAUUAUAUUUGCAUUUUCAAAAACAGGAGCAGAGAGCAUAUUAAACCCCCCAGUCCCUGUCCCUGUCCCACUGAGAACUUCAUACCAAAUACAACAUGUAUACGUAUACCUUAUGAUUUCCCUUCCACCCUUUUCCUGGUUCCUUUCCUUUUCUACGACUCCGCGUAAUCCACAUCUUUUUAAACAUCCAAUUUGUUAUCUAUUAAAAACUCUAUUUCAACUCUGCUGGAUUUACUUGUGACCUGCUAAACUAUGUAUUUGUCUAUACUGGUACUUAAAAUAUUCAAUAAACAUUGUCCAUUCUUCCUUGUAUCCCUUAUCUUUGUUUUCUCUUAUCCUGUCCAGCAGACCAACCAGUGCAGCAUACAGUGGUACCUCGGUUCCCAAACGCGGAAAACCCGGAAGUGUUCCAGUUUUUGAACGUUUUUUGGAAGCUGAACAUCCGAUGCGGGUGUCGGCUAUUGUUUCCAGGGCGCCUGCACCAAUCAGAAGCUGUGCCUUGAUUUUGAACAUUUCGGAACUCAAACAGACUUCGGAUUAAG